AGUGCAGGACAGCGUGACAUUUCAGGCGGCGCUACCUAUAAACAGGAGGACAAAGCCAAGGAAAGAGGGGGGAGCAAGGAAUGUCCAAAGCUCAGAGGGCCAAUCUCUGGCCCUGCUGUCAUGAUUCAGCUUCCUUCCUUUUGGCUUGAGCAGUCGUGGGCUCAGAUUAGAAAUAGCAACAGUUUCGGCUCCUUAUGGGGCAGCAGCUCCCAGGCAGACAGAUCCCUGCAGGAGACUUGCCAAGUACGAGGUACAGUCCCUACCCUGUGGAUGCUACAGUAAUUCAGCCCCUCUGGCUGCAGAGAGCUGAGACUAGUGCUACUCUCUUAUAAAGGAGACUGCGAAGCAUGCUGGAUUUUUUUUCCCUCCUGCUAGGAAAGAAAUAAAAAUUUUUAAAAAGCUG